UGCCCAGCAACUCCUAUCCCUACCUCCUCCUGGUACUGGCCGGGGUACGAGUAACCUUGGGGAAGAUCGGGUAACCAACCCCUGGUGGGAACUUUGGUCGUAUGCUGACAGGGAAGG
rfam:Aedes aegypti strain Liverpool supercont1.5 genomic scaffold, whole genome shotgun sequence.